rnacentral:rRNA from 1 species
AUUGAACGCUGGCGGCAGGCCUAACACAUGCAAGUCGAACGAGUGGCGGACGCGUGAGUAAUGUCUGGGAAACUGCCUGAUGGAGGGGGAUAACUACUGGAAACGGUAGCUAAUACCGCAUACCAUCGGAUGAGCCCUGAUGGGAUUAGCUAGUUGGUGGGGUAAAGGCUCACCUAGGCGACGAUCCCUAGCUGGGCUGAGAGGGUGACCCGCCACACUGGAACUGAGAGACGGUCCAGACGCCGCCGGGAGGCAGCAGUGGGGAAUAUUGCAAAAUGGGCGAAAGCCUGCUGCAGCCAUGCCGGGGGGAUGAAGAAGGCCUUCGGUUUGUAAAGUCCUUUCAGCGGGGAGGCGUUACCCGCAGAAGAAGCAACGGCUAACUCCGUGCCAGCAGCCGCGGUAAUAC